rnacentral:rRNA from 1 species
UACGUAGGGGGCAAGCGUUGUCCGGAAUCAUUGGGCGUAAAGAGCGUGUAGGCGGUCCGAUAAGUCCGUUGUGAAAGUCAAGGGCUCAACCCUUGAAUGCCGGCGGAUACUGUCGGGCUAGAGUCCGGAAGAGGUGAGUGGAAUUCCCGGUGUAGCGGUGAAAUGCGCAGAUAUCGGGAGGAACACCAAUGGCGAAGGCAGCUCACUGGGACGGUACUGACACUGAGGUGCGAAAGCAUGGGGAGCAAACAGG